UACGUAGGGGGCAAGCGUUGUCCGGAUUCAUUGGGCGUAAAGCGCGUGUAGGCGGCCAGGUAGGUCCGACGUGAAAACUGGAGGCUCAACCUCCAGCUGUCGUUGGAAACCAUCUGGCUAGAGUCCGGAAGAGGUGAGUGGAACUCCUAGUGUAGAGGUGGAAUUCGUAGAUAUUAGGAAGAACACCAGUGGCGAAGGCGGCUCACUGGUCCGGUACUGACGCUGAGGUGCGAAAGCGUGGGGAGCAAACAGG
rnacentral:rRNA from 1 species